rnacentral:tRNA from 1 species
UCCCUGGUGGCUCAGCAGCAAAGAAUCUGCCUACAACGCAGAAGACUCAGGUUCGACCCCUGGGCUGGGAA